CCUACGGGGGAAAAAUUUAUUGCUAUUAGAUGAGCCUAUAUUAGAUUAGCUAGUUGGUGGAGUAAUAGCCUACCAAGGCAAUGAUCUAUAGCUGAUCUGAGAGGAUGAUCAGCCACACUGGAACUGAGAUACGGUCCAGACUCCUACGGGAGGCAGCAGUGGGGAAUAUUGGACAAUGGGCGAAAGCCUGAUCCAGCCAUGCCGCAUGAGUGAAGAAGGCCUUUGGGCUGUAAAGCUCUUUUAGUGAGGAAGAUAAUGACGGUACUCACAGAAGAAGUCCUGGCUAACUCCGUGCCAGCAGCCGCGGUAAUACGGAGAGGGCUAGCGUUAUUCGGAAUUAUUGGGCGUAAAGGGCGCGUAGGCGGAUUAGUAAGUUAAAAGUGAAAUCCCAAGGCUCAACCUUGGAAUUGCUUUUAAAACUGCUAAUCUAGAGAUUGAAAGAGGAUAGAGGAAUUCCUAGUGUAGAGGUGAAAUUCGUAAAUAUUAGGAGGAACACCAGUGGCGAAGGCGUCUAUCUGGUUCAAAUCUGACGCUGAGGCGCGAAGGCGUGGGGAGCAAACAGGAUUAGAUACCCUGGUAGUCCACGCUGUAAACGAUGAAUGUUAAAUAUGGGAAGUUUUACUUUCUGUAUUACAGCUAACGCGUUAAACAUUCCGCCUGGGGACUACGGUCGCAAGAUUAAAACUCAAAGGAAUUGACGGGGACCCGCACAAGCGGUGGAGCAUGUGGUUUAAUUCGAUGCAACGCGAAAAACCUUACCACUCCUUGACAUGGAAAUUAUACCUAUUCGAAGGGAUAGG
rnacentral:rRNA from 1 species